rnacentral:rRNA from 1 species
AGCGUUACUCGGAAUUACUGGGCGUAAAGCGUGCGUAGGUGGUUGUUUAAGUCUGUUGUGAAAGCCCUGGGCUCAACCUGGGAACUGCAGUGGAAACUGGAUGACUAGAGUGUGGUAGAGGGUAGCGGAAUUCCCGGUGUAGCAGUGAAAUGCGUAGAGAUCGGGAGGAACAUCCAUGGCGAAGGCAGCUACCUGGACCAACACUGACACUGAGGCACGAAAGCGUGGGGAGCAAACAGGAUUAGAUACCCUGGUAGUCCACGCCCUAAACGAUGCGAACUGGAUGUUGGGUGCAAUUUGGCACGCAGUAUCGAAGCUAACGCGUUAAGUUCGCCGCCUGGGGAGUACGGUCGCAAGACUGAAACUCAAA